rnacentral:rRNA from 1 species
CCUACGGGAGGCAGCAGUGAGGAAUAUUGGUCAAUGGACGAGAGUCUGAACCAGCCAAGUAGCGUGAAGGAUGACUGCCCUAUGGGUUGUAAACUUCUUUUAUAUGGGAAUAAAACGUUGCACGUGUGCCAUUUUGUAUGUACCUUAUGAAUAAGGAUCGGCUAACUCCGUGCCAGCAGCCGCGGUAAUACGGAGGAUCCGAGCGUUAUCCGGAUUUAUUGGGUUUAAAGGGAGCGUAGGUGGGUUGUUAAGUCAGUUGUGAAAGUUUGCGGCUCAACCGUAAAAUUGCAGUUGAAACUGGCAGUCUUGAGUACAGUAGAGGUAGGCGGAAUGCGUGGUGUAGCGGUGAAAUGCUUAGAUAUCACGAAGAACUCCGAUUGCGAAGGCAGCUCACUGGACUGCAACUGACACUGAUGCUCGAAAGUGUGGGUAUCAAACAGGAUUAGAUACCCCAGUAGUC